rnacentral:antisense_RNA from 1 species
GCGCGUUCGCAGCGGGCGAUGUUAGUGGGCUUGGGUGUUGGGUGAAGUAUCCAGGUUGGGUGCUUCCAGCGCUUUCUGUGGCGGGGGAAUGAGGGCCUAGGUCAGGGAAUAGGAGGGUGUAUCGCCUCCGGAGUGCGGAACACCCUCGCCUUGAGGGUUCCCACAGUGACUUGCAAAAGUCUAGUGAGACCCGAGAAGGCUGAGGCGGGACACGAAGCAUGUGGUUCUUGUGGUUGCGACGCUCGUGCCGCCAUCUUGGGUGCUGGCGGCGGAAACCGGUACCCUAACUUCCUCUCGGUGCGAACCUGGAGAAGCCACCCCAGCUGUGAGGGACGGUUGCGCCUCAUGGCCCAGGCAAGGGUACCUUCGCUGGAGCAGUUCCGCGGACGGAUAUCAUGAGGGUGGUGGGACGUUGGUGGAACGUUGAUGGUGUGAGAGGCUGGACUGGAACUCCUGGACUCAAGCGAUCUUCCCAUUUAGCAGGGACUACUGACGCGUGUCUCCCAAUAAAUGCCUGAGUAUAAACAA